rnacentral:antisense_RNA from 1 species
CUUCACCGAGCCCAACCACAGCGGCCGCCCCUCGGGACGGUCCUGGCCGUAGGUGGCCAGCAGCGCCUGCGCCUC